UGAAGGAGCCAAUUUGAAGUGUUCCACUACUUUGGACCUCACAGAAGGUUCAUACGGCAUGAAAUAAGGACAACUGCACGCAUCAACUCCAAGAAAAGGGUCACAGGCUAUUGGAAAGAAAUAUGUGUGCUUCACAUCAAAGUUACAGCUAUUCCCUUUUCCAGCAGCACCAUCUUCCCUCAUCUCAAGUGAUGUGUUGUCAAUACGAAGACCUUGUCACAUGCCACCUCACAGGAAAAAAAGUGUGAGGUUAAUGAGUGUGAAUUUCCUCCACUUUCUGCCCCUCCCACCUCUAAAUAUGUCAUAACUGCCCCCUUUCUUACCUCUUUUCUUGUACCUUAGUGUCCCUUUUCACAUCCGAGGCUACACACUCCAGAAAGAAUCCACUCUAGGCUAGGGGGAUACAGCUCAGGGGUAAAGUGUCCCAUGGCCCUGGGUUUGAUCCCCAACACUGGAAAAAAAGCUGAAAAGAAGCCAUCUCAAUCCUCCAGGGACAAGGGGGAAAAAUGAGAACCAAGAGCUGUCAUGUAAAGGUACAAGAUCCCAGUAAUGAAUGUAACUGUACUGUAUACCUAAAAUGUACCAAUAAACUCAAUGAGGGAAAAAAAAAAAAA
rnacentral:lncRNA from 1 species